rnacentral:piRNA from 1 species
UGGGAGGCAUAGAAUGGAACUGCUGUGUGA